rnacentral:rRNA from 1 species
CAGCAGCCGCGGUAAUACAGAGGUCCCAAGCGUUGUUCGGAUUCACUGGGCGUAAAGGGUGCGUAGGUGGCCGGAUAAGUCUGAUGUGAAAUCUCGGAGCUUAACUCCGAAACGGCAUUGGAAACUAUCUGGCUGGAGGGUCGGAGGGGGGACUGGAAUUCUCGGUGUAGCAGUGAAAUGCGUAGAUAUCGAGAGGAACACCAGUGGCGAAGGCGAGUCCCUGGACGACUCCUGACACUGAGGCACGAAAGCUAGGGGAGCAAACAGGAUUAGAUACCCUGGUAGUCCUAGCUGUAAACGGUGCAUAUUUGCUGUAAAAGGAAUCGACCCCUUUUGUGGCGCAGCUAACGCGUUAAAUAUGCCGCCUGGGAAGUACGGUAGCAAGAUUAAAACUCAAAGGAAUUGACGG